rnacentral:rRNA from 1 species
ACGCUCGACACCUACGGGUGGCAGCAGUGGGGAAUAUUGCACAAUGGGGGAAACCCUGAUGCAGCGACGCCGCGUGGAGGAAGAAGGUCUUCGGAUUGUAAACUCCUGUUGUUGGGGAAAAAGNGGAUGGUACCCAACAAGGAAGUGACGGCUAACUACGCGCCAGCACGCCGCGGUAAUCUGAGGCGGGCUGGCGAAGGC